UGUGCGCUCUCCAUCCCUCGCUCUGCCUCUCUCUUUUCUUCUCCUGCCCGAAAGUGAAACCGGUGGCAACAAAGUGAAACCAAAGCUCCUGCUGCCGGCCCAGCCCAGGGAGGGCCGGGGGACAGGGGCGGCUGCCGGGCGGCCCACGUGGCAGGCGCAGGACGGAGGGAGGAGUCGCUCCUUCAACUGCGGUGAUUUUAAAAAAAGAAAGAACUCGGACCAGAAAUGCAGGAGUGUUCUCCCGUCCCCCCCCCACCCCCGCGGUCUGGUCUCCUCUGCUCUCUGUCUCUGGCCGGGCUGGGGGCACAGGGCCAGGACUGGCCUGGUCCUUUUGGGGUCCCGCAGGUGAAGCCGACCCCCGGGGACCAUCUCUGAGGCUUCCCUCGUUAUCCAGCUUCAGGCCCAUUGCCCAGAUGGAAAGCUGAGGCCCUGAGUGGAGACCGGCUGCCUAGGGCGGCCGGGGCAGUGGGCAGCGGGAUGGCUCAAGUCCUGGGUUGUCCUGAGCCAUGGGGCAAGUUUUCCUUCCCUGCAGAGCACAGAGAGGGAGCAGCAAGGGGCAUGCUUGGCAGCAGGCAGGAUUGAAGUUAGACCCAGGCCAGACUUUCUCCCCAUCGGCACUGUGGCCAUCUGGGGCCUGAUCCUUCUCGGGGAGGGGGGGGCCUGUCCUGAGCACAUGGAGUGGGGGGUUCAGCAGCAUCCCCAGCCCCAACCGCUCGAUGCCAGGAGUACCCCCUAGUGUCACAACCACUGAUGUCCCCAGACAUCACUCUUUGUAAGGGGGGGCCCGGGGGGGGGGAGGAAUCAGCCUCUCUCUUGUGACCCACGGCCCUCAGCAAAUUCUUACAACGUGGGGCCAGGCCAGGGAGAGACUGGCAGAGACAGAGCUCUGAGCCAGGCCCCAAAGGCAGGCAGGCUGGCCCCCGGCCUUGCAGCCCUCUGUCCAGGUUCUGAGAGGCCCUGGGGUCCUCGUCCAGCCUGGGAGUGCAGGGGCGUCCAGGAGACCAGGGCGCAGGCGGGGAGAGAGGCCAGAGGGAGGCGUCCUCCGGGAGUGGCGAGCUGCAAGGCCCAUUGCACAGAUAGGAAUACUGAGCGGCGGGGUGCAGUAAGGGACCGCAAGCCGUGCCAGAAAAAAACCCUCUUCCUCCACCUUGUGGGCCAAGUCUAAACAGCCUACAGGGGUGGGGGGGGUGCUGCCCUAGCCCCCAAGGCACCCGGAGGCUGGGCUUCUCCCCAGCCACUGUGGAUCCGGAGGCUGCAGGACUCCUGUGAUACUCGGGGGCUGUCCUACGAGAGGCUUCCGGGCGCUCCGAGUGGCAAUGAUUUGCCAGGCAGGUAUGCUCCUUCAUACCUGCGCACCUGGUUUGGCCACCCUGGGCGUGCUGGUUAAAUGUGAGCUCUGCCCGGGAGCGGGUUCGGGUGGAGCCCGGGGAGCUGGGAGGAGCCCGAGUGGGAGUAGGCUUCACCUGCAGGGGGGCAGCGCGGAGGGGCUCCUGGCGGCCCCCAGCCUUCCUCGUGCCCGCACACAAUCCCGGGUUUCUUGGGCACCCAUGGCCUGCAAUGUAGCGGCCCACAAAUUCAGCACUGUGGCCCCAGUGGGACUCAGAGUCUGGGGGGGACGGGGGGCAGUGCCCCUUCUUGUUUACUAAUGUCCUUACUUGCCAGAUCAAAAAGGCUGGCCUCUGCAGAGUUGGACCCUGAUAUUCUUUGCUUUCCUUCUUUUUAGUCUUUAAAAAACAAACAAACAAAAAACCAGAUCAGAACUCUUUAUAUAUAUAUAUUUUUAAAUAUUUAUUUGAGAGAGAGAAUGAGAUAGAGAGCAUGAGAGGGGGGAGGGUCAGAGGGAGAAGCAAACUCCCCGCCGAGCAGGGAGCCCGAUGCGGGACUCGAUCCCGGGACUCCAGGAUCAUGACCUGAGCCGAAGGCAGUCGCUCAACCAACUGAGCCACCCAGGCUCCCAGAACUCUUGAUAUUUUUAUUGUGUAAGAUACACAUAAGUCACCACCGUAACCAUCUCUAAGCGCACAGCUCAGCGGCAUGAAGCACCCUCACACGGUCCUGCAGCCACCCCCACCCUCCGUCUCCAGAAAGUUCCAUCUCCCCACACGGAGACUCUGUCCCUGUGAAGCACAGACUCCCCACCCCCUGCCCCAGCCCCAGCUCCCACCCUCUCCUCUCUGUCUCUGUGGACGGGACCCCUCUGGGGACCUCCUGGGAGUGGGGUCCUGCGGGAUGUGUCCUUCUGGGUCUGGCUCCUCUCACUGAGCCCAGUGUCCUCGGGGUCCCUGCACGUCGUGGCAGGUGUCAGGGUCCCUUCCUUUCUAAGGCUGGAGUGUGUUCUCACGCGUGGAUGGACUGCACCGUGUGUAUCCUUCAUCCAUGGAUGGACACCUUUAGGUUGCUUGCACCUUUUGGCAACUACGAACAUGGUAUGCAAACACCAACAUAAUUUUAGGAAUUAAACUUCGCUCUGGAUUCUCUGACUUAGGCCUCAGCAGCCCUGUUGGCGAUUUGGAGCUGGACCUGAUGAGUCUGAUGGAAGGGCUCUCCACAAGGCUUCCAGGAAAUUCUCCUGAGGUUGUGCGCAUCUGCCAGCCCGGAGCUAGAGCGCCCCGUGCAGUGUGCCGGAUGGCAGGCAGAGGCUCAGCUGCGACCAAGAGCUGGUCUGACAUCCCCCUCUCAGGUGUGCCGUUCAGAGGCCUCGAAUACUCACCCUGGGGAGCGGCCACACUCACCACCCGUCUCCAGAACUUUCUCAUCUUCCCAGACUGGACCUCGGUCCCCAUGCAGCCAGCUGGCCUUUGAGAGCAUGCACAGAAUCUUUACGGCCCCUCCAGGAAACCUGGUGUUCAUUCGGGUGUUUUUUCGUGGUCUACCUCGAAUCCAGACGUAGCUCUGUUCAGCCAGACGUGGCUCCCGAACGGUUGAUAAGCUCGCCUUCAGCACCUCGGCAUCUUCACUCGAGUCAAGGUGUUUAGUGGGCGCCGCUCUGCAGGACCGUAUCCUGAGCCCCGAGGAUUAGGCAGUGAGCGGCCAGGACCGUUUGCUGGAAACUGCUGGCCGUGACCCAAUCGUCUUCUAGGUUCCCACAGGCCUCCUUCUCUGCCCCCUUUGCUGGACUCCAGCAUUGGGGUGCCCGGGGAUGCCCUCUCUGUCCACGCUCCCUUGGGGGAUGCCAUGCAGCCGUCGAGUUGGGGAAGACCAACCCCUCCACCCCCAGUGCCAAGCCCACCCUCUCUCCGACACUCCUGAUUCAUCUGUCCACUGCCUCUCGACAUCUAAUGGACACAUCUCCAUUGUGAAGAAAAAAAUGGAGUCAUGGCUCACGCCUCACGCUCGCUGUCUUCCCAAACCAAUGUGUUGUGGCCCCCAGAAGCCCUUUGGGUUCUUUGCUUCCCAUCCCCCCGACAUCUGACGCAGCAUCCAAUCUUCUCGACUUGACAUUCAAAGUAGAUCCAUUCUUCAUUCUGCUACCGCUGUCUCUGUCUGUGCUCCCCGGAUGCGCACCCCAGGUCCCCAGCGGGCCGCUCACGCCCUGCCGGGUGUUCUCACUCAGCCAUGGGUGUGACAGAGGGAGCAUAAAGGUGGGCAGUCAUCUGCUUAAAGUAAUGCUAACAUCUUCCCCUCACGCUGUUUUGGGGGCACCUUUCCAUUUUUUAAUUCUAAUUUUUUGGGAGAAAAAAAUUUGAUCUUAUUCCUAAACAACCACACUUAUAUACUAAUGGGACGUGCCAUCCACUGGGACAUUGGAACCAGAUAGAACAUGGCCACCCUCAUAUCCUCCUUCAGGUCGACUUAUUUUUCUUUUUACUUUUUUUUUUUUUUUUAAGAUUUUAUUUAUUUAUUUGAGAGAGAGAAUGAGAGACAGCACGAGAGGGAAGCGGGUCAGAGGGAGAAGCAGACCCCCCGCCGAGCAGGGAUCCCGAUGCGGGACUCGAUCCCGGGACUCCAGGAUCAUGACCUGAGCCGAAGGCAGUCGCUUAACCAACUGAGCCACCCAGGCGCCCCUCUUUUUACUUUUUUAUUGUGAUAAAAUAUAUAUGGCAGAAAAUUGACCAUUUCAACCAUUUUCACCUGUAUAAGUCAAUGGCAUGAAGCACACUCACACUGUCCUGCAGCCCACCCCCACCCUCCAUCUCCAGAACUUUCCAUCUUCCUAAACACGGACUCCCCACCCCUUGGCCCAGCCCUGGCUCCCACCUUCUCCUCUCUGUCUCUGUGGACGGGACCCCUCUGGGGACCUCCUGGGAGUGGGGUCCUGCGGGAUGUGUCCUUCUGGGUCUGGCUUCUCUCACUGAGCCCAGUGUCCUCAGGGUCCCUCCACGUCAUGGCAGGUGUCAGAUGUCCUUCCUUUUUCAGGCCAAGUAAUAUUCCAGCAUAUGAAUGAGCCGCAUCUUGUUUAUCCAUUCCUUUGUUGAUGGACAUUUGGGUCGUGUCUACAUUUCAGCUGUUGUGAAAAAUGCUGCUGUGAAUAUGGGUGUUGCUUUGCUUUUUAAAAAUUUAUGUCAUCCACGUACCAAAACAUUCACUCUUUAAAGUGUAUGAUUCAGUGGUUUUCAGUGUACUCAAAAGUUGUACAACCAUCACCACAAUCUAAUCUUGGAACAUUUUUAUCACUUCUAAAGGAAACGUGUCCCCAUUAGCAAUCACCCCACCACACAUACCCCCGAGAGCCCCCUUCCCGUCCGUGGAUGAGCCUGCUCUGGACGUGUCACCCACGUGGCCUCACACGCUGCGUGGCCUUCUGUGUCUGGGUCCCCCCCCGAGUGUCGUGGGCUCGGGGUCCGUCCCCAGGGCAGCACGUGUGGGUGCCUCGCUCCUGUUUGGGGCUGAUAUCCAGUGCGUGGACGGAUGCGUUGUGUGCAUUCAUCUAUCAGGUGAUGGACAUUUGGACUGUUUUUAGUUUGGGGCUGUUAUGAAUAAUGGUGCUAUGGAUGUGCACCUCCAUGUUUCGAUGUGGACCAGAUGUCAUUUGUCUUGGGUGCACACACCUUGCCAGGUGAGAUGGUCACUCUGUUUAACUUUGGGAAGAAGUGCCGGCCUAUCCCCCAUGGCAGUGGCAUCAUCGUGCUUUCCCACUAGUGGGACAGGAGGGCUCCAGUCUCUCCCCAUCCUCACCAACACUUGCUAUUGUCUGCCUUUUUAAUGCAGCCCAUACCAGUGGGGGUGAGGUGGUGUCUCAUCGUGGUUUUGAUUUGCAUUUCCCUAAUGACUAAUGAUGUUGCGCAACUUUUUUUAAAGGUAUCUUUUUUUUUUUUUUGGUAUAUCUUUUUUGGAGAGAUGUCCAUUAAAAUCCUU